UACGUAGGGGUCGAGCGUUGUCCGGAGUUACUGGGCGUAAAGCGUGUGCAGGCGGCGCAUCGCGCCCGGCGUGAAAGCCCCCGGCUCAACCGGGGAGGGUCGUCGGGGACGGGUGCGCUUGAGGGUGUCAGGGGCAGGUAGAAUUCCCGGUGUAGUGGUGAAAUGCGUAGAGAUCGGGAGGAAUACCCGUGGCGAAGGCGGCCUGCUGGGAUACACCUGACGCUGAGACACGAAGGCGUGGGGAGCGAACGGG
rnacentral:rRNA from 1 species